rnacentral:lncRNA from 1 species
GAAAGAGGACAAGUCUGCAUGGAAAGAUAAUCGCACAACUGAGCCUUCUGGGAGAUGUAGUUCGGAGCUGGGAAGGCGGUUGGACCCUCCGAAAGUCAUCUUAAUUGCUCUCACAGAUAAGCCGGUGCUGGGCUGCCGGCCUGAGUACUGUGCGCCCAGAGUGCGCAGGCGCAAACAUCCUGGGUUGCUGUUUUGGCCUCUUUGUUCGGGCGUGAAUUUUGUUUAUUGCUCCUUAGUGCAGAGGGGUUAUGGGACCAGAGGUUGUGAGACUCAGAAGUGGUUGGGGACGCAGAAGGGGUGUAGACCAGGAACCUGCGACCUGAUGGGGGGAGGUCGAAGGGAAAGGAAUCGCCAAACGUGGGACAGGUUUGGAGAGGCAGAAAGAGAGGAGUCUGAAAUUGCAAAGGGCAGGUGUUAUUCUGACUUCUGUGUGCUUUGUGAUAAAUGAGUGGGGCAGGAAGUAAGAGGAGUUUCACUUUCUCCUUCUGCAAUUAUUUGUGUACUUGGACUAAGUGUAUCUCAUGGCCAGUAUUUGACUGCUUUUGACCUAUAAAGGUAUUGUAUACACAGUCAUGCAUAGUUUAAUAAUAAGGAUAUAUGCUCUCCCCACGGUCUCCCUCUCCCUCUCUUUCCACGGUCUCCCUCU